UACGGGGGGGGCAAGCGUUGUUCGGAAUUACUGGGCGUAAAGGGCUUGUAGGUGGCCAACUAAGUCAGACGUGAAAUCCCCCGGCUUAACCGGGGAACUGCGUCUGAUACUGGAUGGCUAGAGAUUGGGAGAGGGACGCGGAAUUCCAGGUGUAGCGGUGAAAUGCGUAGAUAUCUGGAGGAACACCGGUGGCGAAGGCGGCGUCCUGGACCAACACUGACACUGAAAAGCGAAAGCCAGGGGAGCAAACAGG
rnacentral:rRNA from 1 species